GCACAAGAAACUUCCUGCGGGCUCUCGUAUAAAAUAUGUCCAGAGAUGGUCUAACAAGGCUUUCACAACUGUCUUUCUAUGCAACAAGAAGCAAUUUUCAUUAUCAUCUGAUGCAAGGCAGCGCUACCCAACACUACAGGUGAAAACUGCUGGCCUUGUAAUUUUGUCAAGUAAUGAAGAGAGGGUCUUGAUAUUGCCGAGGAGAUCAGCUGCAGUGGAGAAAGCAGACUGGACCUGUGCUGCACCGGGGAUGCUGUGUGGACAGUUGGCCAUACCAGGACCCUGCCAGAACUGAAGGGGGGAGCCCAGCCUGUGUUCCCCUGUGGCAACCAUGACUUAAAGCAUGAGAGCAUCCGAGCAAGAGCCAGUGCCACCAUGAGCAACACCAGUUGGUUUUAUUUUUAGUAUCGACUUGGGGAGAAAGAAGAUCCUCUAAGAGCCAAACAAAUGACAGUCCCUUAUGAGAAAGUCUUUCCACAAGAUUCUUUGACGUGUGAGAACUAGUACCAUGACAGCAAGAGUUUUGCUUUUGCCAGGCUGUGAAGCAGCAUCUCGCACUGCUCCCGGGGGAACGCAGCGGGAAGCGAUAGCGAUCAGGACGUGGGGAUGCUCAGGCGGAGAAAUGGAUGUCGGUAACCCAAAGGCAGCAGGCCUCCUUCCAGCUACUCUGUCAGAGAAGCUUCACAAAUCAAAAUCCUCUUUCAGAUGCCCAAAUUAUAUUUCUGUUGGCUAAGACUUUAAAAACUUUUUGAAGUUGCUUGAAUUAACAGCUGUCUUUGGCUUCGUUUUUCACCUUAGUCAGUUGUUUGUGUAUCCUCCUGGCCUUCUCUUUGGCUCCGUUUCACUGCUGCGUGUGCUUUAACUUUCUCCAAUUACUUUCACACUUGCAUUUUUUAAAGCAAACCUGUGACUCGUCACACCCUCAUUCUCCUCCCAGAAAAUAGGAAAGUGGUGAAUUAUUUUUCAGCAUUGCCUACAGCUGCUGACCUAGUAGAAGUUUGCUUUGCUCCCUGUUAUAUUCAAGUGUACCUUCCCAAAAGACAGCAGCAAAAUGGAGGUUUCUUCUUACUUUUAAAGACUGGGGACUAUUUCGGUCCAGCUGACUGCCAUCGUGAAGGUUUGUCUUCCAAAAAUUUUGAAAUUGCUUUGGUACCUGCCUUUAAAAAUGCU